rnacentral:sRNA from 1 species
GAUUCUUGGUCAUUUUAGAGGAAGUAACAAGGAUUCCCCUAGUAACUGCGAGUGAAGCGGGAAAAGCUCAAAUUUAAAAUCUGGCAGUCUUUGGCUGUCCGAGUUGUAAUCUAGAGAAGUGCCAUCCGCGCUGGACCGUGUACAAGUCUCCUGAAUGGAGCGUCAUAGAGGGUGAGAAUCCCGUCUUUGACACGGACUGCCAGGGCUUUGUGAUGUGCUCUCAAAGAGUCGAGUUGUUUGGGAAUGCAGCUCAAAAUGGGUGGUGAACUCCAUCUAAAGCUAAAUAUUGGCGAGAGACCGAUAGCGAACAAGUACCGUGAGGGAAAGAUGAAAAGCACUUUGGAAAGAGAGUGAAACAGUACGUGAAAUUGUUGAAAGGGAAACGCUUGAAGUCAGUCGCGUCGACCGAGACUCAGCCUUGCCUCGGCUUGGUGUACUUCUCGGCUGACGGGUCAGCAUCAAUUUCGCCCCUUGGAUAAUGGCGAGGGAAAUGUGACACCUUUGCGGUGUGUUAUAGUCUCUCGUCGCAUGCAAGGGUUGGGAUUGAGGAACUCAGCACGCGCCUUUGGGUGUCGGGGCUUUGCCCACGAUACGUGCUUAGGAUGUUGGCGUAAUGGCUUUAAACGA